rnacentral:rRNA from 1 species
AUUGAACGCUGGCGGCAGGCUUAACACAUGCAAGUCGAGCGGGGGAAGGUAGCUUGCUACCGGACCUAGCGGCGGACGGGUGAGUAAUGCUUAGGAAUCUGCCUAUUAGUGGGGGACAACAUCUCGAAAGGGAUGCUAAUACCGCAUACGUCCUACGGGAGAAAGCAGGGGACCUUCGGACCCUGCGCUAAUAGAUGAGCCUAGGUCGGAUUAGCUAGUUGGUGGGGUAAAGGCCUACCAAGGGGACGAUCUGUAGCGGGUCUGAGAGGAUGAUCCGCCACAAUGGGACUGGGACACGGCCCAGAAUCCUACGGGAGGCAGCAGUGGGGAAUAUUGGACAAUGGGGGGAACCCUGAUCCAGCCAUGCCGCGUGUGUGAAGAAGGCCUUAUGGUUGUAAAGCACUUUAAGCGAGGAGGAGGCUACUUUAGUUAAUACCUAGAGAUAGUGGACGUUACUCGCAGAAUAAGCACCGGCUAACUCUGUGCCAGCCGCCGCGGUAAAAC